CUCACGGCCACCCUGGGAAGGAGGCUUGACUUGUGACAUCCACCCCUCUUCACGGCUGAGGAACUUUGGCCCCGAGCGAGGAAGCGACCGGCCCACGGCCACACGCCCGGAGUAAAUAUCUACUCAUGGGAUUGCUGGGCUGUAUGGGGGCAGCAUCUUCUACUAUGUGCAUCUACAUUGGAUGGCAGUGGAGCAACACAGAUUGUUUUCUGACAAAAAUCAGCCAAGUACUAGGAGAGGCAGGACUUUAGAAGUGGAGGAGAUGGAGAAGGAAGCUUAGGUUACUAUGGAGUGUGCAAAAAGGUCCUGUGGAUUUAGAUACCACCACACACAAAUGGUAUGUAAUACUCACUUGAAGACAAAUCAGCCAGAGGGAUCUAACAGCAUUGACCCAUUCUCUGGUCUUCUAGCAUCCAUCAUAGUUUUGUGCUCCUUUUCCAUGAAACACAGCUGUUGUUGGAAGGUACCUGCCCAGAUAAGGACUGCAUUUCCUCUAGCAUCCAGAUGGGACCAAAUGACUGCUGGCCAAUAGAAGUGAGUGGAAAGGACUGACUCCAGUUCCAGGUUGGGCCUCCAACUGCUCUGGGCACGUCGAUGGAACAGAACACCACCUCCACCCCAAUACCACCAAUUCAACUUUACAUGAAUUAUAAGCGAGAAAUAA
rnacentral:lncRNA from 1 species